rnacentral:rRNA from 1 species
UAGGGAAUCUUCGGCAAUGGGGGGAACCCUGACCGAGCAACGCCGCGUGAGUGAAGAAGGUUUUCGGAUCGUAAAGCUCUGUUGUUAAGGAAGAACGAGUGUGAGAAUGGAAAGUUCAUGCUGUGACGGUACUUAACCAGAAAGGGACGGCUAACUACGUGCCAGCAGCCGCGGUAAUACGUAGGUCCCGAGCGUUGUCCGGAUUUAUUGGGCGUAAAGCGAGCGCAGGCGGUUAGAAAAGUCUGAAGUGAAAGGCAGUGGCUCAACCAUUGUAGGCUUUGGAAACUGUUUAACUUGUGUGCAGAAGGUGAGAGUGGAAUUCCAUGUGUAGCGGUGAAAUGCGUAGAUAUAUGGAGGAACACCGGUGGCGAAAGCGGCUCUCUGGUCUGUAACUGACGCUGAGGCUCGAAAGCGUGGGGAGCGAACAGG